rfam:Nematostella vectensis strain CH2 x CH6 NEMVEscaffold_4761_Cont48461, whole genome shotgun sequence.
GCCGAAAUAGCUCAGUUGGGAGAGCGUCAGACUGAAGAUCUGA